AAGCGGCUCAGGAAAGAAGGCGUGGGCGGGAAGCUAUCCAAGUGGCAUUGUUCAUAUAAUCGGCGUGCUCUCUGCUCCACCUUCAUU